UUUUGUUGGUUUCUAGGNCCGCCNUAAUGAUUAAUAGGGACAGUCGGGGGCAUCAGUAUUCAAUUGUCAGAGGUGAAAUUCUUGGAUUUAUUGAAGACUAACUACUGCGAAAGCAUUUGCCAAGGAUGUUUUCAUUAAUCAGUGAACGAAAGUUAGGGGAUCGAAGACGAUCAGAUACCGUCGUAGUCUUAACCAUAAACUAUGCCGACUAGGGAUCGGGCGGUGUUACUAUUUUGACUCGCUCGGCACCUUACGAGAAAUCAAAGUGUUUGGGUUCUGGGGGGAGUAUGGUCGCAAGGCUGAAACUUAAAGAAAUUGACGGAAGGGCACCACCAGCUGCGGCUUAAUUUGACUCAACACGGGGAAACUCACCAGGUCCAGAUGAAAUAAGGAUUGACAGAUUGAGAGCUCUUUCUUGAUUUUUCAGGUGGUGGUGCAUGGCCGUUCUUAGUUGGUGGAGUGACUUGUCUGCUUAAUUGCGAUAACGAACGAGACCUUAACCUGCUAAAUAGCCAGGCUAGCUUUGGCUGGUCGCCGGCUUCUUAGAGGGACUAUCGGCUCAAGCCGAUGGAAGUUUGAGGCAAUAACAGGUCUGUGAUGUCCUUAGAUGUUCUGGGCCGCACGCGCGCUACACCUGACAGAGCCAACGAGUUCUCCUUGGCCGGAAGGUCUGGGUAAUCUUGUUAACUUUUGUCGUGCCUGGGGA
rnacentral:rRNA from 1 species